ACGGGGUGCAGCAGGCGCGAAAACUUGGCAAUGCGAGAAAUCGUGACCAGGGAACUCCAAGUGCAUCGGGUAAGACCGGUGCUUUUCUUGACUCUAAAUAGGUCUUGGAAUAAGGGGUGGGUAAGGACGGUGCCAGCCGCCGCGGUAAUACCGGCGCCUCAAGUGGUAGUCGCUUUUAUUGGGCCUAAAACGUCCGUAGCCGGUUUGAUACAUUCGUGGGUAAAUCAACCAGCUUAACUGGUUGAAUUCUGCGAGGACGGUCAGACUUGGGACCGGGAGAGGUGUGGGGUACGCUCAGGGUAGGGGUAAAAUCCUGUCAUCCUGAGCGGACCACCUGUUGCGAAGGCGCCACACUAGAACGGAUCCGACGGUCAGGGACGAAGCCUAGGGGCACGAACCGGAUUAGAUACCCGGGUAGUCCUAGGUGUAAACGCUGUGGA
rnacentral:rRNA from 1 species